CUUCAACUGACACAUUUCUCCAUAAGUGCCGCUUUGUCCUGUGGACAUUAACAACGUACACAGAGUGGUACACAGGAAACCACGUACAGAUUGCCCGAGUCCUAAAAUAACCUGUGCAGCUCAGAGGAUUUUACUAAUGCCAUUACAUUACUACUGAGCCAGCAGGAGGACACUGAGGGGUUUGGACAUGAGGAGCGAGGACACUUCAGCAUGAUGCAGCGUUUCUUUCAGCUUUUGGAACUUCUUGAGGUCAGCACAGAACAACACCUAAAGCAGGGAAAGACAAUCUGUGGUUAU